GGCCAAUGGCGCAGGCUACACAUGCAAGUCGAGCGGUAGCACAGAGAGCUUGCUCUCGGGUGACGAGCGGCGGACGGGUGAGUAAUGUCUGGGAAACUGCCUGAUGGAGGGGGAUAACUACUGGAAACGGUAGCUAAUACCGCAUAACGUCGCAAGACCAAAGUGGGGGACCUUCGGGCCUCAUGCCAUCAGAUGUGCCCAGAUGGGAUUAGCUGGUAGGUGGGGUAACGGCUCACCUAGGCGACGAUCCCUAGCUGGUCUGAGAGGAUGACCAGCCACACUGGAACUGAGACACGGUCCAGACUCCUACGGGAGGCAGCAGUGGGGAAUAUUGCACAAUGGGCGCAAGCCUGAUGCAGCCAUGCCGCGUGUGUGAAGAAGGCCUUCGGGUUGUAAAGCACUUUCAGCGGGGAGGAAGGCGGUGAGGUUAAUAACCUCAUCGAUUGACGUUACCCGCAGAAGAAGCACCGGCUAACUCCGUGCCAGCAGCCGCGGUAAUACGGAGGGUGCAAGCGUUAAUCGGAAUUACUGGGCGUAAAGCGCACGCAGGCGGUCUGUCAAGUCGGAUGUGAAAUCCCCGGGCUCAACCUGGGAACUGCAUUCGAAACUGGCAGGCUAGAGUCUUGUAGAGGGGGGUAGAAUUCCAGGUGUAGCGGUGAAAUGCGUAGAGAUCUGGAGGAAUACCGGUGGCGAAGGCGGCCCCCUGGACAAAGACUGACGCUCAGGUGCGAAAGCGUGGGGAGCAAACAGGAUUAGAUACCCUGGUAGUCCACGCUGUAAACGAUGUCGAUUUGGAGGUUGUGCCCUUGAGGCGUGGCUUCCGGAGCUAACGCGUUAAAUCGACCGCCUGGGGAGUACGGCCGCAAGGUUAAAACUCAAAUGAAUUGACGGGGGCCCGCACAAGCGGUGGAGCAUGUGGUUUAAUUCGAUGCAACGCGAAGAACCUUACCUGGUCUUGACAUCCACAGAACUUUCCAGAGAUGGAUUGGUGCCUUCGGGAACUGUGAGACAGGUGCUGCAUGGCUGUCGUCAGCUCGUGUUGUGAAAUGUUGGGUUAAGUCCCGCAACGAGCGCAACCCUUAUCCUUUGUUGCCAGCGGUUAGGCCGGGAACUCAAAGGAGACUGCCAGUGAUAAACUGGAGGAAGGUGGGGAUGACGUCAAGUCAUCAUGGCCCUUACGACCAGGGCUACACACGUGCUACAAUGGCAUAUACAAAGAGAAGCGACCUCGCGAGAGCAAGCGGACCUCAUAAAGUAUGUCGUAGUCCGGAUUGGAGUCUGCAACUCGACUCCAUGAAGUCGGAAUCGCUAGUAAUCGUAGAUCAGAAUGCUACGGUGAAUACGUUCCCGGGCCUUGUACACACCGCCCGUCACACCAUGGGAGUGGGUUGCAAAAGAAGUAGGUAGCUUAACCUUCGGGAGGGCGCUACCACUUUGAUCAGGGGC
rnacentral:rRNA from 1 species